rnacentral:rRNA from 1 species
UCGAGAAUUUUUCGCAAUGGGGGAAACCCUGACGGAGCGACGCCGCGUGGAGGAUGAAGGUUUUCGGAUUGUAAACUCCUGUCAUUGGUGAACAAGACAUUCCCGUUAACUGCGGGGGUGUUUGCUAGUAGCCGAAGAGGAAGGGACGGCUAACUCUGUGCCAGCAGCCGCGGUAAUACAGAGGUCCCGAGCGUUGUUCGGAUUCAUUGGGCGUAAAGGGUGCGUAGGCGGUUUGCUAAGUUUGAUGUGAAAGCCCGGGGCUCAACCCUGGAAUUGCAUUGAAUACUGGCGGACUAGAGUACUGGAGAGGAAACUGGAAUUUACGGUGUAGCAGUGAAAUGCGUAGAGAUCGUAAGGAAGACCAGUGGCGAAGGCGAGUUUCUGGACAGUUACUGACGCUGAGGCACGAAGGCCAGGGGAGCAAACGGG